AUUGAACGCUGGCGGCAGGCCUAACACAUGCAAGUCGAGCGAACCUAGCUUGCUAGGUGAGCGGCGAACGGGUGAGUAACGCGUAGGAAUCUGCCUGGUAGUGGGGGACAACGUUCCGAAAGGAACGCUAAUACCGCAUACGCCCUACGGGGGAAAGCAGGGGAUCUUCGGACCUUGCGCUAUCAGAUGAGCCUGCGUCGGAUUAGCUAGUUGGUAGGGUAAAGGCCUACCAAGGCGACGAUCCGUAACUGGUCUGAGAGGAUGAUCAGUCACACCGGAACUGAGACACGGUCCGGACUCCUACGGGAGGCAGCAGUGGGGAAUAUUGGACAAUGGGGGCAACCCUGAUCCAGCCAUGCCGCGUGCGUGAAGAAGGCCUUCGGGUUGUAAAGCACUUUAGGUCGGGAGGAAGGUUCGCUGGCUAAUAUCCAGCGGAAUUGACGUUACCGACAGAAUAAGCACCGGCUAACUCCGUGCCAGCAGCCGCAGUAA
rnacentral:rRNA from 1 species